rnacentral:lncRNA from 1 species
UUAAAUAAAAGGUAAUACUAGUUAACGGUUUCAUUAUUACGGUGGUAUUAUAUUAUUUUUUAUAUAUUAUAUUUGUUAGAUGUCUAGUAUUAUUGUAAUGUUAUUAUUCUAUGAUUCGAAAAAUAUAAAGAAAUUAAUACUUUCGAUGUUUUGAUUUUUGAAUCAAGAAUUAUGAAGUUAGAAUGAUAAUAAUCCUUGAUGAUUCUCUUAUUAAAAUUUAGUAAUCCUCCUCUGCAGUAAUAAUAUUAAUUAAAU